AGAUGUACAGCGGUAACUGUGUCAGACCGGAGGCACACUAAUCACAGCCUCCAUAAACAGGUGGUAGAUUGUGCAAAGGGGUCGGAGCUGUUCUCAAUUUACUGUGUAAAUUAUGCAGAGCCCAAAACAAUGCGACGCAUAGACAGUGGAGUAGCGGGCAUUGGCUAACGAGAUGAUGAGAAGCCUGGGAGGGCCAGGAGCAGUAGUGGGGUGGUUGGGCAUGGCCGGCAGCUUGCGUCUGGAUCUGUAUGUUUGUGUGAGGGUGUAUGGUGGUCUAGAGGAGCUGUGGCAGGGGAGCAGACACUGUCCCAUCUGUACAAAUCCCACCGUCAGCACCCCUGCUGCCCAGACUGUGUGGGGAGGGUGAGUAGGCAGCUGGGGCACCCUGCCCCCAUUGCUCCAAUAAGAGCACCAGCCUUGGGAACUUCUGUGGCAGGGGUCCCCCAACACUGGCACGUAUGGGCCCCUAGAAGUCUGGCUGCAACCCCCCCAUCACCAAAAUGUCACUUUUCUCUCUCUUGUCUCCCCAACACUCCCUCCCACCGUAAUAGGAGGCUGGGGGCCUGGGAAGGACUUCAAGUUCACGGCCAGAACUCCUAUUGAGCUGACAGCCUGAAUGUUUGCUUAAUUCGGCUCCUCAUUCAGAACCACGUUAGAGGGGGAGUGCAGAGAAAGAGCCGGGGGGAGGAGGUGCUGCUAGAUUGGACACCAUCGCACUGUGAUAGCUAUUCAUUCAGCAGGGGGAGACCAGCAAAGAGAGCGAAGGAAGAAGGGAUGAGUGGGGGUGGGGGGCAUUGGGGGGGAUUUGAGUCGAGGUGCAUAGAAAGUGAGGAAUCCGGGCUCAAAGUUUGCUUUGAGCAGUGUGCGGCUCUCUCACACUCUUUCAAACCCUUAAUUAGUGGCACCUUCCAUUUUUCUUUCCUUUUCUCCAACUACACCCCAUCACCCCACUUCUUGACAACACACCCCCACACCAAAUCUCAAUCAUUCUCAUCAUCCUCUCGAUCCCCUGGUUUUAUUUGACCACAUGCUGAGGCUGUAAAUUUACCAUUAACAAGCUUAUUCACUGUCGCCCUCUCAA